AAGACAGUUGAUUUCGACUCAACAAAUCAUAGUUCAUACCCUAUGACUUUCUU
rnacentral:tRNA from 1 species